GUUCCGCUAGCUCAGCCGGUAGAGCAUCUGACUUUUAAUCAGAGGGUCUGGGAUUCGAAUUCCCAGCGGGACACCA
rnacentral:tRNA from 1 species